rnacentral:rRNA from 1 species
GACGAACGCUGGCGGCGUGCUUAACACAUGCAAGUCGAACGGAAAGGCCCUGCUUUUGUGGGGUGCCCGAGUGGCGAACGGGUGAGUAACACGUGAGUAACCUGCCCUUGACUUUGGGAUAACUUCAGGAAACUGGGGCUAAUACCGGAUAGGAGCUCCUGCUGCAUGGUGGGGGUUGGAAAGUUUCGGCGGUUGGGGAUGGACUCGCGGCUUAUCAGCUUGUUGGUGGGGUAGUGGCUUACCAAGGCUUUGACGGGUAGCCGGCCUGAGAGGGUGACCGGCCACAUUGGGACUGAGAUACGGCCCAGACUCCUACGGGAGGCAGCAGUGGGGAAUAUUGCACAAUGGGCGGAAGCCUGAUGCAGCAACGCCGCGUGCGGGAUGACGGCCUUCGGGUUGUAAACCGCUUUCGCCUGUGACGAAGCGUGAGUGACGGUAAUGGGUAAAGAAGCACCGGCUAACUACGUGCCAGCAGCCGCGGUGAUACGUAGGGUGCGAGCGUUGUCCGGAUUUAUUGGGCGUAAAGGGCUCGUAGGUGGUUGAUCGCGUCGGAAGUGUAAUCUUGGGGCUUAACCCUGAGCGUGCUUUCGAUACGGGUUGACUUGAGGAAGGUAGGGGAGAAUGGAAUUCCUGGUGGAGCGGUGGAAUGCGCAGAUAUCAGGAGGAACACCAGUGGCGAAGGCGGUUCUCUGGGCCUUUCCUGGCGCUGAGGAGCGAAAGCGUGGGGAGCGAACAGGCUUAGAUACCCUGGUAGUCCACGCUGUAAACGGUGGGUACUAGGUGUGGGGUCCAUUCCACGGGUUCCGUGCCGUAGCUAACGCUUUAAGUACCCCGCCUGGGGAGUACGGCCGCAAGGCUAAAACUCAAAGGAAUUGACGGGGCCCCGCACAAGCGGCGGAGCAUGCGGAUUAAUUCGAUGCAACGCGUAGAACCUUACCUGGGUUUGACAUGGAUCGGGAGUGCUCAGAGAUGGGUGUGCCUCUUUUGGGGUCGGUUCACAGGUGGUGCAUGGCUGUCGUCAGCUCGUGUCGUGAGAUGUUGGGUUAAGUCCCGCAACGAGCGCAACCCUUGUUCACUGUUGCCAGCACGUUAUGGUGGGGACUCAGUGGAGACCGCCGGGGUCAACUCGGAGGAAGGUGGGGAUGACGUCAAGUCAUCAUGCCCCUUAUGUCCAGGGCUUCACGCAUGCUACAAUGGCUGGUACAGAGAGUGGCGAGCCUGUGAGGGUGAGCGAAUCUCGGAAAGCCGGUCUCAGUUCGGAUUGGGGUCUGCAACUCGACCUCAUGAAGUCGGAGUCGCUAGUAAUCGCAGAUCAGCAACGCUGCGGUGAAUACGUUCCCGGGGCU